rnacentral:rRNA from 1 species
GACGCGGCGACGUGGGCGGUUCGCCGCCGAUGACGUCGCGAGAAGUCCACUGAACCUUAUCAUUUAGAGGAAGGAGAAGUCGUAACAAGGUUUCCGUAGGUGAACCUGCGGAAGGAUCAUUG